rnacentral:rRNA from 1 species
UACGGGGGGAGCAAGCGUUGUUCGGAUUUACUGGGCGUAAAGGGCGCGUAGGCGGUCGUGACAAGUCACUUGUGAAAUCUCCGGGCUUAACUCGGAACGGUCAAGUGAUACUGUCGGACUAGAGUACAGAAGGGGCAACUGGAAUUCUCGGUGGAGCGGUGAAAUGCGUAGAUAUCGAGAGGAACACCUGCGGCGAAGGCGGGUUGCUGGGCUGAUACUGACGCUGAGGCGCGAAAGCCAGGGGAGCGAACGGG